UGGGGAAUUUUGGACAAUGGGGGAAACCCUGAUCCAGCCAUCCCGCGUGUGCGAUGAAGGCCUUCGGGUUGUAAAGCACUUUUGGCAGGAAAGAAACGUCAUGGGUUAAUACCCCGUGAAACUGACGGUACCUGCAGAAUAAGCACCGGCUAACUACGUGCCAGCAGCCGCGGUAAUACGUAGGGUGCAAGCGUUAAUCGGAAUUACUGGGCGUAAAGCGUGCGCAGGCGGUUCGGAAAGAAAGAUGUGAAAUCCCAGAGCUCAACUUUGGAACUGCAUUUUUAACUACCGGGCUAGGGUGUGUCAGAGGGAGGUGGAAUUCCGCGUGUAGCAGUGAAAGGCGUAGAUAUGCGGAGGAACACCGAUGGCGAAGGCAGCCUCCUGGGAUAACACUGACGCUCAUGCACGAAAGCGUGGGGAGCAAACAGG
rnacentral:rRNA from 1 species